GUGGUUAUAAUAUCUGUUUUAGUUUGUUAACUCGUAAUAAAAGAAAAUUCAUGCAAAUGACUUGGCCACUCUAUAAUAAAGUAAAUAAAUAAGGGAAAGAAUAAAUAAAAGGAAAGGAAAUAAAAUAAAAUAGAAUGACAAAAACUGUAGUAAAAGGUGGAGGAAAGAAUCAUGUAAAGUUUGUUUCCAACUUACUCACCCUUACCUGUAUUUGAGGAUCACUAACACCCUAUUAUCAAUUGUACCUGGAUUUGUAAAGAAAGAAUUAGUAAAGUAUUAUAUUGAAAAUGGAAGAUGCGAGUAAAUUUAUAAAAUCUUAGAUCUAAUCUUAUCCCACAAUUCAUGAAUAUUUUUCUUCAUGUAUGCUCUUCCUCUUCAUUAUAUACACAUACUGAUUAUAUUCUUCAUAUAUAUUUUGCAGGUUGUGUGUGCUAUGUUCUUUAUGCUUCCUUUUUCUUUGAUUUUAUGUCAGAGACAUGAAUAAAUGAGAAGUUGUUGUACCCAAAAUCAGAUUUGAAAUUUUAAAAGAAAGAACAAAUCAAAAUGAAAAUGAGUAUAUUUCUAAAAAUGGAAGAAUUAAGGUAAGGAAUGCACUUACAAGAGGUACAGAAGAAGCAAGUUGUUUUUGAAACUUCGGGUGAGCAGUCUUAACAAGGAGAGAGUGUAAAUGAAGUUCUGCAAGUAGAGAGAGAGAAAAGAGGGGAAAAUCAUUAUUCAAUAUACUUUAAAAUGUGAGAGGGAAGAAAAACCAGGUAAUCCCAAAAGCCCCAUCAUUAUCCAUCCCA
rnacentral:lncRNA from 1 species